AGUCGCUAUCCCAGCGAUCCCAGUCGGUUUCUAGCGUGCUUUGCGGUUGGCCGUUGCCGCGUAUGUCGUAGCAGCGCUCUUUGUGCGCCUUGAAGGGUGCUUCAAGUCAAUCUGUUCUCAUCUUUUGAACUAUGAAGCGUGUGUCUGUGGCUGUUGAUCGUUCCGGUAUCAAAAGACCACGUGUGCACCGGUCAGCACCGCGGCCACGUGAUGCACCAACUGAACCUGCCGGUGUGAGCUGAACACUCCGCUGUGGAGCACCAGAUGAACCUGCCGGCGUAAGCUGAAUGCCCUGCUUUGGAGCACUGUCCAUGGCGGCGGCAGCUGAACGCUCUGCUGUGGAGGGGCAUCAAUGUGCACUCCUGCAUGCAGGAGUUUUUCAGGACGAGGAAGUAGAACCAAAGACUGAACAUGAGUCCUGGUGGAUGUGACAUCCGUCUAUCUCCAAGGUUUCCUCGAACUGCCCGUCCAGUCUGAUGCAAUCGUUGAGAAGGUUUCCUCGAACUGCCCGUGUAGCCUAAUGGAAUCGUUGAGAAGGGUUUCUGCAGUGCUUCGUCUACCUUAGUGGGCUUUCUGCACUGCGUUGUCUACUCUAGUGGGUUGCUUGGCACUUCCCAUGAAGAGUGCAAAAGUGGUUUUGGUCAUCGUUCCUACAAGUACCAUGGAUGCCAGCCACUGCAUCUUCACAAAUGGCUUUUGAUGAAAUAAAAAGUUUUCGUUCA